ensembl:snRNA U1 U1 spliceosomal RNA
AUACUUACCUGGCAGGGAUGAUACCAUGACCACUAAGAUGGUUUAUCCAGGGAAAGUCUUAUCUAUUGCAAUCUAAUGUGCUAACCCCUGAAAUUUCACCAAAUGUAUUAACUUCAAAUGCAUAAUUUGUGGUAGUGGGAGACUGCAUUCAUGUUCUCUUCUG